GACGAACGCUGGCGGCGUGCUUAACACAUGCAAGUCGAACGCUGAAGCUUGGUGCUUGCACUGGGUGGAUGAGUGGCGAACGGGUGAGUAAUACGUGAGUAACCUGCCCUUGACUCUGGGAUAAGCCUGGGAAACUGGGUCUAAUACUGGAUAUGACAUGCCACUGCAUGGUGGUGUGUGGAAAGGGUUUUACUGGUUUUGGAUGGGCUCACGGCCUAUCAGCUUGUUGGUGGGGUAAUGGCCUACCAAGGCGACGACGGGUAGCCGGCCUGAGAGGGUGACCGGCCACACUGGGACUGAGACACGGCCCAGACUCCUACGGGAGGCAGCAGUGGGGAAUAUUGCACAAUGGGCGGAAGCCUGAUGCAGCGACGCCGCGUGGGGGAUGACGGCCUUCGGGUUGUAAACCUCUUUCAGCACGGAAGAAGCGAGAGUGACGGUACGUGCAGAAGAAGCGCCGGCUAACUACGUG
rnacentral:rRNA from 1 species